CCUGGAAACAGAUGCUAAUACCGGAUAACAACAGAUGAUGCCUAUCAAACUGUUUAAAAAAGUAUGGUUCUGCUAUCACUCUUGGAUGGACCUGCGGUGCAUUAGCUAGUUGGUAGGGUAACGGGCCUACCAAGGCGAUGAUGCAUAGCCGAGUUGAGAGACUGAUCGGCCACAUUGGGACUGAGACACGGCCCAAACUCCUACGGGAGGCAGCAGUAGGGAAUCUUCCACAAUGGACGCAAGUCUGAUGGAGCAACGCCGCGUGAGUGAAGAAGGGUUUCGGGCUCGUAAAGCUCUGUUGUUGGUGAAGAAGGACAGGGGUAGUAACUGACCUUUGUUUUGACGGUAAUCAAUUAGAAAGUCACGGGCUAACUACGUGCCAGCAGCCGCGGUAAAU
rnacentral:rRNA from 1 species